rnacentral:rRNA from 1 species
GUCGACGAGAGGACAAGAGAAGCUUGCUUCUUUUGGAAUCGAGUGGCAAACGGGUGAGUAACACGUAAACAACCUGCCUUCAGGAUGGGGACAACAGACGGAAACGACUGCUAAUACCGAAUACGCUUGGGAGACCGCAUGAUCUUCCAAGGAAAGGGUGGCCUCUACCUGUAAGCUAUCGCCUGAAGAGGGGUUUGCGUCUGAUUAGGCAGUUGGCGAGGUAACGGCCCACCAAACCUACGAUCAGUAGCCGGUCUGAGAGGAUGAACGGCCACACUGGAACUGAGACACGGUCCAGACUCCUACGGGAGGCAGCAGUGGGGAAUCUUCCGCAAUGGGCGAAAGCCUGACGGAGCAACGCCGCGUGAGUGAUGACGGCCUUCGGGUUGUAAAGCUCUGUGAUCGGGGACGAACGGUCCGUAAGUCAAUACCUUAUGGAAGUGACGGUACCCGAAUAGCAAGCCACGGCUAACUACGUGCCAGCAGCCGCGGUAAUACGUAGGUGGCAAGCGUUGUCCGGAAUUAUUGGGCGUAAAGCGCGCGCAGGCGGCUUUCUAAGUCCAUCUUAAAAGUGCGGGGCUUAACCCCGUGAUGGGAUGGAAACUGGAAAGCUGGAGUAUCGGAGAGGAAAGUGGAAUUCCUAGUGUAGCGGUGAAAUGCGUAGA